ensembl:lncRNA
CUUUUUUAUUUAAAAAAAAAUCGAGUCUAGCUUUCUCUAGAAGUUUGCUUUUCAGGGUUUUCUCUUCCAUUUCCAGGAUAAAGGUGUUCCUGGCAUGGAGUAAUUCCAGCUCCCCUUGUCGGCCCAGAUGCCCGAAGAGAUACAAUGUUUCUGCCCCUGAACACACAGGCUGUAGCAGGAAUUCGAAUUUGGCCAUAGCUAAUGAUUUUUUUUUCUAAAGCAAAUUCUGUUUAUUUUGUACCAUGUGGAGAAAAAAAAAAAAAAAAAGGAACCUAUUCUCUUUUUUAAACGGAAUUGAUCUUUCAUCCAGAGGAAUUAUUUCGACCGUGCCGUUACACAGGAGCAUAUUGUAGUGGCGAAGAUAUGGGCUUUGAAAUUAGAUCAACUGGAUUUGACUCCCUGCUUUACUUUUCUCUUCCAAGUUCCUUGCAAUCCAGACAAUCCGGAUGCAGAUAACAUCCUGCAUCUAGCAUGCUGAGUUGUCUCCAAAAUCUCUGAAGCCUACGCCAUGUCCUGCUGUUCCUAGAUUAAGGAAAUGGAUGCUUAAGAGAGAUCACAGACCUACCGCUAUACAUGCCAGGUGAGUGAUGGAUUCCCUCUGAAGCCUGCUUCCCAGGCCGCUGCUAUAUUCUGGGUCGACUUUUCUUAACCAUGUAGUGUUAUUCUCCUGCCACCUUCCCAUGUCCCAGCUCCCUAUCUGCAUCUCAAUGCCUCAGAACAUGCCAGCAUGCCAGCACUGUUCAUAGCCCCGGGCUUUGGAUGUAUUGUUCCAUUCUUACCUUCUCUGCCGGGCUUGCUCUUAAUUUGCUAAUGUUUUUUUUUUUUUUUUUGCAAUCAGUUCCAGCAUUGGGAUGGUCACUGACACUCUUCAUACUGGAUCUGGCAGAGUCUGUCCAAAUUCCUAGGACAGGGCGUGUGUGUUUUAACAUUUUAAUUUUUAGCCUGUCUCUUUUUAAAAGAGCCUUAUUGAGGUAUAAUUCACAUAUCAUUUAACUGACCCAUUUAAAGGCCACAAUUCAAUGGCUUUUAGUAUAUCCACAGAGAUGUGCAUCCAUCACUACAGUCAACUAUACAAUAUUUUCAUCACCACAAAGAGAACCCUUGUACCCUUUAACCUGUUAUCCCUUUCCACUCCUGCUCCUCAUCUCCUUCAGCCCUAAUCAGUUUUCUGUCUUCUUGGAUUUGCCUAUUCUGGACAUUUUAUAUAAAUGAACUCACAUCAUAUAUGAUCUUUGUCACUGGCUUUUUUCACAUAACAAAGUUUUCAUAGUUUACCCAUGUUCUGGAAUGUACUUCCUUCCUUACUAUAGCAGAAUAUUGUUCCAUUGUAUGGAUGGACCACCUUUGACUUAUUCAUUCAUCUAUUGAUGGACACUUGGGUUGUUUCCACCUUUUGGUGACUGUGGUUAUUGCUGCUAUGAAUAUUUAUGUAUGAGUUUUUGUUUGAAGACCUAUUUUCAGCUCUUUGGGGGAUAUACCUAAGAGUGACAUGCUACUGCUGCUGCUGCUAAGUCGCUUCAGUCGUGUCGGACUCUGUGUGACCCCAUAGACGGCAGCCCACCAGGCUCCUCCGUCCCUGGGAUUCUCCAGAAGGAAAAAUUAAACCAGAGGAACUAUCUUGUCAUUCAGCCAUCAGACAUAGAGCCUGGCUUCAAACUCAACUCUCAUUCCAAAACGUGUGUUGAUUUCAAGACAACAUGUCAUAAUAGUAAAAAACAUCUUGCAUGACCCUUGGUUGUAUCUCGUUCUGGUUGAACAAUGACAGUGAGUCAUCUGUCCUGGACCAGUGGUGAUGACUGCAACACCGUGGUUCCUUUAAGGGGGCAGAAAUAUUUCUUUUGGUGCCUAACAACAUUUUAGGAGCAUCUUCUUAUGAAAGAUAUUCUUCAAAUGUAUUUUUAAGUACAGUAACUUAUGGCAAAGUGAAACGAAAGUGUAUUCCAUAGUUAACUUUGUAUUUCUCUGAACUUAUCAUGAUACCGCAUUCCUAAUUCCAAGAGUUUGG